GGAGUUGGCAGCAUCAGCAGCAGCCAGGGUUUAAAUGGGUGAACGUGCUCAGCAAAGGGUAGCUGGUAGUCUUACUUGUGCCUCCACACAAGGCUGCAAGGGAACCUGAAGAGACAUGAAAGGCUGCGUUCAACCUCCCCUCUCACAGCUGUGGAUGAAGGGAAUUCUUCUGAACUAGUGCACUGACAGUUUACAGGAAGGAGAAGGAUGGAAUUCCUGCACACUGGACAGCACGUGGCCUUCCCCAUAGCUCCAGUGGCAUGUGGCUUUGGUGAAACUUGGGGCUUUGUCACCUCUGAAUGAUGUGGACUCAGUGAAUUCUAAGGAACUCAGGGACACUGGUUCAGGCUCUGCCACACAGAAGAGCCACAGUCUCCAGGCUCAUGGCGUUCCCUCCAGAACUCCCCAUUCCACUCUGAGCAUAUUUCUAUGCUGCUUCUUCUUGUGACUUACAUGAGGCAUCUCAGCUUCUUCCUGUUUGUAGGGAUGUUUCCCUAAGCCUGUUCAAGUAGAUUCUCACUAGAAUUAGCAUGCAUAUUGGAGUAAAAAAGAACAUUUAAUAAAUAUGUGUGUUUCUGUGGGGCCGAGGCUCUAAAGGAAUUGAAAGGAGAUUAUAAACAGUGAAUGAGUGUGAGGGCAUCCCUGCUGGGGAGAAACCUCUGUCCCUAGAGAGGGUCCUUUCAUGUUCAUGUGGUCGGGGAUGAGCCAGGGGUCUGGCCUCAUCGGCUCACAAGUGACACCAAGAGAAAAGAAGCAAAUGGAGGAAAUGGUCAGAUAAGUAGGUGAUGUGAAAGGCAGGACCUGGUCACCCCAGCGAGCACUAUGGCCAGUUCCCGGGUCCCGUGACCCACUGCACAGGUCCAUGAGUCUGACUCUUGGACUCUGCCAGGAUCAGCUGCCCAGAGUGCCAGAGUUUUCGCCAAGGGUGUCCUUAAUUCCUUAUUUAUCAGCAAAAGAAUGAAAAUCAUGGGAGUCAAAGCUUAUUUUUCUGAGUGUUCCCACUGGAGUGUCUGGUGGAAUUAGUGGGUCAUGCCAUCAAAGUCAUGAACAAAGCCUCAACAGGGGUCUCCAUGUCCCCAACUGGCCAUCUAAGGGGAUACAUUGGCAUGCAAUUGAAUAUCAAAGGAAAUUUUACCUCAAAAUAUAUCGUCUAUACUCGGCUAAUCAUUUUGUGUGAAUACUUUCUUAAUGAACACUGAAGGUGCAAGCUUGAUAAUGUUUGGAUUUGCAAAUAUCGUUAGGAUACUUGAAAAUGUUUUUCUAACUUUCAGAAUAAAUCAGGAACAUUAACACUGUCACACCACUUCCUGCACCAAUUUUGCUCCGUGGCCAUCAACUUUCUUUAGCCCCAGGGUGUCUUUUACAGUUCCAUGUUUUUUUGUGUGUGUGUGCACGAAUUUUUAGAGUAUCUUUAUUGCUUUUACCUGAGUUCAGCAUUUCUGCCUCAAAAGAUGGUUAUGGGGUGCAAAACAGCAGGUAACAGGUACCACUAGCAGAUACAAUGAACUGCGUCUGACUCAAAGCAGUUGUUCUCCAUUUGGGGGGGCUCAUACUUUAAUCCCAUAGCUCUAGUAGUACAUUUCUGCAUAAGUAGAGUAUUCCAAUGGCAACCUUAAAUCAACUCAUGUGCAAAAACUUUGUCAUUCUUUUUAAAAUGAUUGCAUUGGUUCUGUCCAGUACAUCUAUUUGUUGAUGGUGUACUUGGUGAUUUCUCUGGACACAACAUAGUCAAUAUUUGAUUACCAAUCAGCAGAUUAUCUAUGUCAGACACCAGAAAAACAUUCUGAGUCCCCUGCUUCUCUGAUCAGUGGGUGUGAAAUGGGAGAAAUAGGGUAAUAUUCACUUUGACCUGAGAAAUGCACAGACCGUAAUGUUAAAUAUUGGACAAUGCAUUGUCAUGUUGGAUACAAUAUUUGCAGACAGGGCACUAUUUUAGAAUUUAUUUCUGCUGUGCUUCUCCAUCCAGGCCAUGAAUAGUAAUAGAUUUAUAGUUGAUUUAAGAAAUUUUUGUAACUCAAUAAAUACUGAACUAAAGCAUUCAAAUUAUCUGCUUUGAAACUGUAAAUUUUUGUUCUAAUCCUAACUCUCUUCUUUUUGGAUACUGAAAAACAAUGAAGGUGAUGCAUUCUCCCAGCCUGAUUGCCUCUCUGCAAUGUCGAAGUAUUGGCAGUGAUUUCUAAAAUAGCAAUAUUUUAUACACUUUUUAAAAUGAGCUUAAUAUUAAAAUGAAUUAUACAUUUCUCUGAGCAGAUGGAACAAUGUUUUAUUCAAUUUUACUAUAGUUUAUUUUCAGAAAUUUGAUAUAAAAACAUCAGGAAUAAAAACCUGCUCUCUCCUGAAAAUAUGGUUCAUGUAGAAAAGUGGCUUAGAGAUUAAUAGAAACUUAAUUUAGAGACUGAUAUCAACUGCACAGUUACUAGUAAAUGUCAUUUCAUAUAGUCUGUUCUAAAGAUCAUAUUAGCUCAUCCACUAAAAAAUCAAGCUUAUUACUCAUGAUAAGAGUUGAUAUCAGAUCUAGCUCAGAUAAACUUAUUGUACUAUGUUGACAAGAUAAAGCUAGCUAGUCAAGAACACUUUCACGAAAAAAGAGAAAAGUAGUACAAAUUCUUUUCGCAAUGCUAGUGGCAAAAAACCACUCUAUGAUAUUUAUUAAACUAAAAUGUAGGUCAGACAAGAAAUUGUAUUCCACCUCUUAUUUAAUUAGUAAUCAGAGGUCAGCAGUUCAAAUGUGCUCCCUUUCCUUCUCAACUGUUUGGCAAUUUAAUGCUAUGUAACGUGAAACACGUAAAAUGUCUCAGUGUUAGAUAAAGAGUCACAAGAUAGAAGGGAGAUCUGGAUUCUGGAAAAUCCAGACUUUCCUUCUAACCUGUUGCUAAGAAGAUCACAUUGCUGGCUUUCAUCUCUGUAAGUGUAGACAGCUCAACUUCCUACAAGAAUUUGCUAGUGCCUGUUUAAGGUGAUGGUUUAUCAUUUCACCUGGAUGUUACUGGUUUCAAUUAGAAGCAGAGGAUUGACUGGAUGUACUUUAAAGAAAAUUGAUUUUAUAAUUCUCUUUGAAUUCAGAAUAGAAAAUGAACAAUGAACGCAUCAGCACUCUCCACCGUAGUGCCAGAAGAGCUGCAGGGGGUACUUAGAAUUUAGUUACAGCAGGUUAAUCCAGUAUUCAGCAUCCCAGAAUAUGAUGUCACUCUAAUUUUACACCUUCCCAAAACAAACAAAUGAAUAAACAAACAACUUCCAAAACCACUGCAGUGUUUUACACUAGGAAUGUCAGCAUGACGCCUAUGGAAAUUGGAAUGUGUUACUGUUUCUCUUCAGACAAGUCCAUAGGUACAGAAGAAAGCAGGCACAGGUGGUGACAGCUGGCACAGAUAUGGUGCAGGGCUAAAUGAGAGUCACCUAGAACAUUGCCUGAUUUUUACUUUUUAAAGUCAAUUUCAAACUGCUUCACAAGUUUACAGAAGAGCUCACCCUUAGUUUUGCUUUCUCCCAGUACGGUGACUGUUGACCGACAUAAAACUUGAACUUAGGCACUGUUAAAGGUAGUACACUAAGCUUCAAUCUGAGCAUCUAGAUUCAACACUGAAACUCUAUAUCACCUGCAAAAAUAUGUGUAUAUUCAGUCUAAUGUAGAAUUCUUUGAGAUGUGUGACAACACCCUUGUGUUAUACCACUUCGUGUGACUUCUGAAGAUAUCAUGACAUUCUAAAUGCCUCUUCCUGUGUUAAAUCUCUGUUCCCUAUUUUGUGAUGUAACUCUUUACAAUUGUUUCAUUUUGUCAUCGGAUGUUCUCUAAAGCCAAAUUCAACCCUUGAUAAAUGUGUGAUGUCCAUGGCAAUAGGAAAUGCGUGACAGGGUAAGCUGGCCAGGUUUUCUAUUUAUAAGGAGUUGGUGUCAAAUUGAUAUGGUUUGGCUCUGUGUCCCCACCAAAUCUCGUGUCAAAUUGUAAUCCCCAAGGUUGGACCUGGGGCCUGGUGGGAGAUGACUGGAUCAUUGUUGCGGGGGAGGGUCCUUCAUGAAUCCCUUGGUGCUGUUCUCAUGAUGGGGCUCUCAGGAGCUCUGGUUAUUUAAAAGUGUGUGGCUCCCUGCUCUCUCUCUUACUCCUGCUCUGACCAUGUAAGGUAUGCCUACUUCCAUCCCAUCACUUUGGGAAGCCAAGGUGGGCAGACCACAAGGUCAGGAGAUCGAGACCAUCCUGGCUAACAUGGUGAAACCCUGUCUCUACUAAAAAUACAAAAACAUUUUCCGGGCGUGGUGGUGGGCGCCUGUAGUCCCAGCUACUCGGGAGGCUGAGGCGGGAGAAUGCCGUGAACCCGGGAGAUGGAGCUUGCAGUGAGC
rnacentral:lncRNA from 1 species